rnacentral:rRNA from 1 species
CCCGCUCAGAAACUACAAAUGAAUUGGACGGGGGAGCACCACAACAGGUGGAGCCUGCGGUUUAAUCGGACUCAACGCCGGGAAACUCACCAGAUAAGACAGCUGAAUGAUAGUCGGGCUGAAGACUCUACUUGACUAGCUGAGAGGAGGUGCAUGGCCGUCGUCAGUUCGUACUGUGAAGCAUCCUGUUAAGUCAGGCAACGAGCGAGACCCACGCCAACAGUUGCCAGCUCGUCCUCCGGGAUGGUGGGGACACUGUUGGGACCGCCUCUGCUAAAGAGGAGGAAGGAAUGGGCAACGGUAGGUCAGCAUGCCCCGAAUUAUCUGGGCUACACGCGGGCUACAAUGGGUGGGACAAUGGGUAUCGACACCGAAAGGUGAAGGCAAUCUCCUAAACCCAUCCGUAGUUCGGAUUGUGGGCUGCAACUCGCCCACAUGAAGCUGGAAUCCAUAGUAAUCGCGUUUCAACAGAACGCGGUGAAUACGUCCCUGCUCCUU